UACGUAGGGUGCAAGCGUUAAUCGGAAUUACUGGGCGUAAAGCGUGCGCAGGCGGUUUUGUAAGUCUGUCGUGAAAUCCCCGGGCUUAACCCGGGAAUGGCGAUGGAGACUGCAAGGCUAGAGUUUGGCAGAGGGGGGUAGAAUUCCACGUGUAGCAGUGAAAUGCGUAGAGAUGUGGAGGAACACCGAUGGCGAAGGCAGCCCCCUGGGUCAAAACUGACGCUCAUGCACGAAAGCGUGGGGAGCAAACAGG
rnacentral:rRNA from 1 species